UCGUCAUCAUCUUCUCCAAAAGAUUUCUCUUUUUUUCAUCACAGGGCUCCAAUCCCUCACUCUCUCUCUCUCUCUCCAUUUUCUCUCUCUAUACAUAUAUAUCUUACAUAUACAUCUAUCGUGAGCUGUUCUACAUAGAUAUACAUCUAUCGUGAGCUGUUCUACAUAGAUCUUCUUCGUUUAUUCUCAGAACGCACAAAAAUUUCAAAAAGGUGAGGGAGAGAAAGAAGAUUCUCUUCUGUGGCUAUUUUUUGAUUGGUUAGGGUUUCGUGAAUUUGAGGCUGUCUUCGUUUUCUAGGGUUUCUUGAAUCUCAAAAUCGCCAUUUACAGGUAGCGUUUUUCUUCUAUACCUAAUUCAGUGUAUUGAAAAGUGGUUGAUUUUGUUAUUGGAAUUUGAAUCUGGAUUAAGGAAUUAGGGUUUCGAGGGGUUGAGCUAAAUUUCGUUGUACUGUUUUGUUUAAAUCUAUUGAAUUCCAAGGAGGUAAUGGGGUGUUGAUGAUUGUUGUUUGUAAAUGAGAAGCUUUUGGGCAAUAUUUAUGGAGAAUCAAUCAAUAAUAAUUUGGUAUGUGUUAGGUGAGAGAGUGGUUUUGGCACAUGUGGUUGGGGUAAUGGAAAAUUUCGGCAAAUGGGUGUGAGUGAUACUCAUGUGUUGUAUAGAAGCUGCAUGCUUGAGACAAUCAUUAUUGCAAUUCGAAACCCGUAUUGAUCAGCAACGCCAUCAGGCAGCGUACUCAAUGGAUAGUCCUUCCACCACCCCGGGUUCUCUUCCGAGUUCUACUGACGAAAACCCACGUGUAAAAUUUUUAUGUAGUUUUUCAGGUAGUAUUUUGCCACGCCCCCAAGAUGGGAAGCUGCGGUAUGUGGGUGGUGAGACGCGAAUUGUGAGUGUGCCCCGAGAUAUUACUUAUGAAGAGCUGAUGGUGAAAAUGAGAGAGCUUUAUGAAGGGGCAACAGUGUUGAAAUAUCAGCAGCCUGACGAGGAUCUUGAUGCGCUCGUGUCAGUUGUGAAUGAUGAUGAUGUAACCAACAUGAUGGAGGAGUAUGAUAAAUUGGGUUCUGGAGAUGGGUUCACUAGACUCAGGAUUUUUUUGUUUCCGCAUCCUGAUCAGGAUGGUUCUUCGCAUUUUGUGGAUGGGGAUGAAAGGGAUACUGAGAGGAGAUAUGUUGAUGCUUUGAACAGCCUUAAUGAAUCCCCUGAAUUUAGGCAACAGCAGGGUUGUGAAUCAAUAGUAACAGGUACGGUAGAUGAUAUCCAUGUUGCAGAGCAGUACUUUAACCAGAUAAGCCUUGAGGGUAGCCUCCAUAACCAGAGGAAUUAUGAGUUACCCAUUCCACAGUUUAACUUGUGUCACCUCACAAUACCUCAUACGGGUUCAGGGCAGCACCAGCAAAUGGAGGCUCCAUGGAGUCCUGCAUACUACUCCCCUAGGCAUCCUGGGAACCAUGAUCCAAGGCCAGUGGCAGAGUUCCCAACUUCACCUUCUUCGGCUCGAUUCCAUUCUCCAUAUGGGGAGUUCUCAGAAAAAGGUUUGGAUAGAAUGUCUGAGGAAUACAGUCGACAGCAAAUGAGUCAUCCAUUCCCAUAUGACCACAAGCCGCAAUUUUCGGACAAUGUAGUAUGGUUGCCAAAUGGGGGUAUACCUGGUGAUAAAUCUGGUUUCCCGGGUAAUAUACUUCAUGGCCCCAAUGUUUUUGAUGGAAGUAACAUCUGUGAGCACUGCCGAAUGACUUUCCAAAGAAAUGAAGCUUAUCCUGAUUUCCCUUGGAAGCAUGGAGAACAACCACAUUUGGAGCAGCCCCAUAUGGCCAAUGCAUUUCAGCAGGUUUCUGGUCUGUGUGCUGAGUGCCAUCCAAAUAGGGAAGCUUUUGUGUUGAAUGAAGAUGCAAAGUUUCACCAUGGCUUCUACCCGAGAGAACAAAAUGAUGCUCGACCAAUCUACAAUGAAACUCAUAUUCAGGAAAGAGGAUGGAUUCUGCAGCCUCAGUUAAAUCCUCGAGUUGAUGAACCAAGAUCACAAAUUCCUGGAACUGGAAGAUUGAAUGAGCACUACUUUGUAGAUGGCACUGGUAUGAAUAUCCCCAUUACUCCAGGCAAUAUAUCAGAAGGCUAUCCCGUGACCCCAAAUUAUGUUCAUCCCGAAGACCCACGGUUCCUCAGGUCUGGACCUGAAUUGGGGAAUGAAGUGUUUCAUGACCAAGCUUUGGCCUCUGCUUCUCACGUCCACCAUAUUCCUUCUGUUGAUGAGCGUGGGGCUAGGUAUGGGAAUUUUCCUUAUGUGUAUGGAGCAGAUAAUCUUUACCAAACGGCAAAUGGACAUGCACCUGCACAUAAUUUACGGAGACAUGUUCAUAACCCAUUGCAUGGGGCUCCCUCAUAUGAAGUAUGUGCUGCACCUCAUCUAGCAAAUGGUACAAGUACAGGAUUUGUGAGGGGUACAUUGGACGGUAGUCCCAGGUUCUGUAUUGGGACGGAGAAUCAAAAUCCUUUGGUUGAGUCAUCACAAAAAAUGAUGGGCUUUGAUGGAUCUGCUUUCCCAGGAAAUUUUUAUGGCCAUGCCUUAAAAUUGACACCUAAUGUAUGUAUUCUGGAAAAUGAAUGCUCACAUGCUGCAGAAUAUGUUCAAUCCCCAACUGAUAUGAUAAAUUUAGCCACUCCUACAGAAGCUGUACAGUUACCUGAUCCUGCCUGGACUUUGACGAAUGAUAAGUUGGUUUCUUUAACCACUUCUGGCCUGGAAUUAAGAAAUGACAUAAAUGUUGCCGAAUCGUCAAGGAUGGAGGAGAAAGGAACUACUGGAGAAGGAAAAGAAACGAAUCAUGCAGACAAGGUCGAAGUCUCCAAUAUGCAGAGUGUCUCUGCUCCAGAGCAAAAGACGAAUCUUGAUGAGGUGGCACCUCAUGAGUCUAUCCAUUCAAAUGGCUUGAGGCCUGCUGAAGAGUGCAGUGGCAUUGUUAAAUCAGAUGAAAUUGGUGCUCAGGCUCCUCUUGAAGAUAAAGAACUCUGUGAUCGACUGAGUUUCUUACCUGAAUUGAUUGCUUCUGUAAAGAAGGCAGCAUUAGAAGAUGUUGAGGACGUGAAUGCUAAAGUUCAAGAAGAUACUAAUUCCGUUACUGGGCGUGGUGCAACUGCAAAAGAAGAAACUGGAAAUGAAUUAGAGUUAGUGGAUGUGCAUGGGGACAUGGAAUUGGAUUCUGACAAUGACAAUCCGAACAAUUCCAAGAUUGAGACAACAAAGGCUGAGGCCGAAGCUAUUGCUAGGGGAUUACAGACUAUUAAAAAUGACGAUCUGGAGGAGAUUAGAGAACUAGGUUCGGGUACAUAUGGGUCUGUAUAUUAUGGCAAGUGGAAGGGUUCUGAUGUGGCAAUAAAGAGAAUCAAAGCCAGCUGCUUUGCUGGGAGACCUUCUGAGAGGGAACGUCUGAUUGCAGACUUUUGGAAAGAGGCUUUGAUAUUAAGCUCAUUACAUCAUCCAAAUGUUGUUUCUUUCUAUGGUAUAGUCCGUGAUGGUCCUGAUGGAUCUUUAGCGACUGUGACAGAAUUCAUGGUUAAUGGAUCUUUGAAACAGUUUAUACGGAAAAAAGACAGAACAAUUGAUCGUCGUAAGAGGCUCAUCAUAGCUAUGGAUGCUGCAUUUGGAAUGGAGUACUUGCAUGGAAAGAACAUUGUGCAUUUUGAUUUAAAAUGUGAAAACUUGUUAGUAAAUAUGAGAGAUCCACACCGACCAGUGUGUAAGAUUGGUGACCUUGGCUUAUCAAAAGUAAAACAACACACUUUAGUGUCAGGGGGUGUUCGUGGAACCUUACCUUGGAUGGCACCUGAACUUCUUAGUGGAAAGAGUAACAUGGUUACAGAAAAGAUUGAUGUUUACUCAUUUGGGAUUGUCAUGUGGGAAUUGCUCACGGGAGACGAACCGUAUGCGGAUAUGCAUUGUGCUUCUAUAAUAGGAGGAAUUGUAAACAACACCUUACGCCCGCAAAUUCCAACAUGGUGUGAUCCUGAAUGGAAGUCUUUAAUGGAAAGUUGUUGGUCCUCCGAGCCGGCAGAGAGACCAUCGUUUUCAGAAAUCUCUCAGAGGUUGAGGAACAUGGCUGCACCAAUGAAAUAAUGCCAAUCCUGGAGUAAACAAUUUCUCUUGAAUGAAGGUUAGAUGAAUGCUAAGAAGAGCGAAAAUAAAAAAAGAAUAGUUUUUGCAGUUUUUCAGUCAGCCUAUCCUUUCCCUAGUCUGCAGGCUAAUAAUAUGCAUUCCCAUGCCCUCAUUUUUCUCCCUUGAACUUUUAUUAUCGACAUGAAAGGGUUUUUUUUUUAUGAAGUAUAAUUAUAUGUGCUCUGAACCCGGUAUUACAAGAAUGACUACAAUACAUACCCUGAGGAGAGCUAUGAUUGCCCAUGGAGAAUGCUGUUAUUAUUUUUGGAUGUGUUUGGGAUGGUGGUGCGGUUCUUCCUUACAUGGGUGUUUUUUAUUCUGUCCUAUUGAGGCUGAACUGACCGGCUAUGAAAGAAUGUGUAUAUAAGUCGAAGAUAUUAGUGACCUUGGCUUUAUCUAGGCUGCAGAAUGAUGCAUUUAUCUUUUACGCUGUGUUUGGUUGGAGGAUUUGGGGAGAAAUUUGAAAAAAGAAAGGGAAAAAAUGUGUGAAAUUAAGUGAAAUAUAAGUAUGUUUUGUUUACAUUUCAUCUACCUUUUUCAUUUUCCUUUCCAAAUCCCUCAUCAAAUCUCCCAACCAAACAUAGUAUUAGAGUUUCAGACGAGACUUGGAGCCUUCUUUUGUUAUAUGUUUUCGACAUUACGUCAUUUCAUACUAUGUUCGCUUUCAACAUAUUAUAUGUUUACUGUAGAAUCUGGUUCUGGAGAUGUAAAAAAAAAUUGGAUUAUUUUGUAAGAAUAUGAAGAAUUUGUCAUUUGGGUUAUGGAGAUCUUACCGGUGAUAUAAAGUUCUGUUGAUUGGCGGUA